rnacentral:lncRNA from 1 species
UCUUAUAUGACCAAUGUACUUGUUCAUAUAUAUCUUGAAAACGAGACUACUAUAAAAGAUAAUAUUUAUAAAUCCUAAAUCAAGGGACACCAUCUUUCUUUGAAUGGAUAUUAUCCUUCAUUGGUGAUCACAAUGCCUUCUCAUUCUUUUACGUAUUACGGUGGACCAGCAGUCAGUCCUGUUAAUUCAUGUACGCCAUUUCCACUGUCUGGAAAAUAUAAAACCAAUUUGUAAGAAGGGUCGAUGAUGAAAAAAUAUGAAAUUGACAUUAUUUUGAUACCAUAGCUUUCAUCCUUAUGGGUGCAAUAUAUUUGAGUAACUGGAAGACAAUGGAGUGUUGAAACAAAUUCUUGAUGUGCUACAAGCUAGUUAGAAUCUCACUUCCGGAAUCAUCUGCAUCCCAAUUUGCAGUGAAUAAGCCUUGUAUGUUUCUUGGAACAUCAUGUGCAGAUAUGAAAACAAGCAACCUCUUUAUAUCAUUCAAUACAAAAUAGCUUGAAUACCUUUUGUAGCUAAGUUGUAACCUUUCCAUAGUCCUGUUCUCCCAUAUGAGAUGUGUGUGUAGCCCUUUUUCUGCUGAAAUUUGCUAAUUAUCUUGAUUUCUUUGGCAAGGUCCAGGCCAAUUCAAUGUUUUUGACGUUCCAUACUUGUGGUGACUCGUUAUGAUAACCUAUAAUUAAGCGUUAGUUUGAAGUGGGCACCAAAAAUCUACAUAAUAAAAUAAAAUUAAAUAAGUGAAUGCUGAUGGACUGAGAAAAAUUAUUGAAUGCUAAAAAAAAUAAGUACAUUACAGAUGUCACAGUUUUACUAUCGAAGUACCCUUAUGUUGUUCAACACGGCAUAGUAAAUUUGUAAACAAAAUAAAGCAAACAAAACUGCACCUACGUGUUUAAUAAUCAUGAACUGGACUUGAAUCAACAAUAGUUGAUAUAAAUUCCCAACAACAAAAAAACAGAGGAAGGAGGAAUAAGAAUGAACUAGUAGUGGAAUAGAGUCGGUGGUGGACCCUGGUAGUGUGCAGGAUGCAGCUCGAGCACCCAGGACAAGGUGACUGGUCGGUGUUGUGCAGGACACAUCGUGGGCACGUCGGCGCCGAGGACGCCACAAGGAGCAGGCUGCGGCACGAAU